AUUUGAAAAAAUAAAAUAAUAAAAUACUGCACAAUAAGUUAAUAACGGUUCUUCCACAUAAAGCGUUUUAUUAUAUUUGAGCACAUUGUUAGUAAAGGGGAAGGUUUUCUUUUUUUUGCCGUAAUCAAGAUAUGAUGGUGUUUAAACAUAUAUAACGAGUUUAGUAAAAAGAAUCACCAUAUUAAUUACCGUUCAAAAAACGUUUUUGCAACAAGCCAU